GUGACAAGAAUUAAAAAAAUAGGUGUGUUCAUUGGGGCUCACUUCCCAACAAAAAUUUCAUUCAAAAGAGAUUCUCUUUGAAAGCAACUUACCACAGGCUACUAUCUGUAGCCCCUUCUUGUGGAGUUCUUAGAAGUCUGCAGAGAAGCAACCUCCUGGAAGGCUUGAUAACAAAGGCCUGGAAAAGAGUGCCUUAUAGACUGAAUUGUAUAAAGGGCCCUGCAACCUGCAGUAACAGCACGUUACCCAGCAGCCAGGUUUACCUGCUAAUUCCUCCAUUUUUUAAGACUUCGUUUGGAGUGUUAAGUGAGCCCUGUUCUAACUUCUGCAAAUGGUGAUUAACUCAGAGCACUUGAAAGGACCACAAACUGUGUCUAAAAAGCUAUUGGGAAUUGGUUGGGUCAGGGAGUUUCAAAUCCUAGUUCUUUCUCCUU